UACGGAGGGUGCGAGCGUUGUCCGGAAUCACUGGGCGUAAAGGGCGCGUAGGCGGGAUGGCAAGUCGGUCGUGAAAUCCCUCGGCUCAACCGAGGAACGUCGAUCGAUACUGCUGUUCUUGAGGAUUGCAGAGGAGACUGGAAUUCCCGGUGUAGCGGUGAAAUGUGUAGAGAUCGGGAGGAACACCGGUGGCGAAGGCGGGUCUCUGGGCAAUUCCUGACGCUGAGGCGCGGAAAGCGUGGGGAGCAAACGGGG
rnacentral:rRNA from 1 species